UGGGGAAUAUUGGACAAUGGGCGAAAGCCUGAUCCAGCAAUGCCGCGUGAGUGAUGAAGGCCUUAGGGUUGUAAAGCUCUUUUACCAGGGAUGAUAAUGACAGUACCUGGAGAAUAAGCUCCGGCUAACUCCGUGCCAGCAGCCGCGGUAAUACGGAGGGAGCUAGCGUUGUUCGGAAUUACUGGGCGUAAAGCGUACGUAGGCGGUGACUCAAGUCAGAGGUGAAAGCCUGGAGCUCAACUCCAGAACUGCCUUUGAAACUAGGUCGCUAGAAUCACGGAGAGGUGAGUGGAAUUCCGAGUGUAGAGGUGAAAUUCGUAGAUAUUGGGAAGAACACCAGUGGCGAAGGCGGCUAACUGGUCCGGUACUGACGCUGAGGUGCGAAAGCGUGGGGAGCAAACAGGAUUAGAUACCCACGUAGUCCCUGAGCGGGCUGGCAAGGCGCAU
rnacentral:rRNA from 1 species